GAUGAACGCUGGCGGCGUGCCUAAUACAUGCAAGUCGAGCGAACAGAUAAGGAGCUUGCUCCUUUGACGUUAGCGGCGGACGGGUGAGUAACACGUGGGUAACCUACCUAUAAGACUGGGAUAACUUCGGGAAACCGGAGCUAAUACCGGAUAACAUUUGGAACCGCAUGGUUCUAAAGUGAAAGAUGGUUUUGCUAUCACUUAUAGAUGGACCCGCGCCGUAUUAGCUAGUUGGUAAGGUAACGGCUUACCAAGGCGACGAUACGUAGCCGACCUGAGAGGGUGAUCGGCCACACUGGAACUGAGACACGGUCCAGACUCCUACGGGAGGCAGCAGUAGGGAAUCUUCCGCAAUGGGCGAAAGCCUGACGGAGCAACGCCGCGUGAGUGAUGAAGGGUUUCGGCUCGUAAAACUCUGUUAUUAGGGAAGAACAAAUGUGUAAGUAACUGUGCACGUCUUGACGGUACCUAAUCAGAAAGCCACGGCUAACUACGU
rnacentral:rRNA from 1 species